GUAUUUCUCUCCAGAAACAAGGGAAAAAAUUUUUUCCAACAUUCAGGUGGAACACGUUGACAAAACUGCCCCAUAUAUCUUUUGAUAUGUUGAUCUAACAUUGGUUAAACAUUUUUUGAUGUUGAACAUUCUUCACUUCAGAAAACCACAAAAAGAUGUUCUCUGCUUUCGUCGCAUCCCUCAGGAAGACAGGUGGAGAGAAGAACCAACUCCUUCGAUCAGUGUCUUCUACAGGUAAAAUCCGUGACCUGUAUUGAGCAGUAUAUAUAUGAUAUGUGAAACUCCUUAAUGAGGUUUAGUUAUUGUCAUAAUCAAAAUUUUCAUCAUCUUUCAUGUACUUCUCUUGCACUGCUGCCACCCUGUAAUAAUCCCAAUCAACAGGGCGGACUGCAAUUUUGCUGAAUUCAAC
rnacentral:misc_RNA from 1 species